rnacentral:misc_RNA from 1 species
GUAGGUGAACCUGCGGAAGGAUCAUUAAUGGUGCUUGCAGAAAUGCUUGCACGGCGGCGGCCUUAAAACGCGCCAAAUGGCACCCUUUGUUUACGAGUACCGUUCGUUUCCUUGGUGGGCUCGCCCGCCAUAGGACAACCAUUAAACCUUUUGUAAUUGCAGUCAGCGUCAGUAAAAUGUAAUCGUUACAACUUUCAACAACGGAUCUCUUGGUUCUGGCAUCGAUGAAGAACGCAGCAUCUGACUGACU